UAGUUUUAUAAUUUUUAAAUUUUUUUUAAAUUUAAACUAGUAAUUAGCAGCUGAAUUUUCUUUUAAAUGUUGACAGGAUGGGUAUAUGUGAACUAGACAGACACAUUAAUUUGUAUUUGGUUUUUAUCAUAAUUAUUAGGAGGUGAUGAUGAGAAGAUAAAAAAAUAAAAAAAACAUUCAAGCAAAGAAAAAAACAAAAAUAUAUAGAAAAUGAUAUCACUAAAUCCUUUCAUUAUUGCCCAUCGUCAUCCAUCGCACACGUCAAGCACGUGUCAUUGCAUCUAUAAGUAACUCGUUCUUACCCACCUUUGCCAUCAAGAAUACGUGUGUCUAAGGUCUUAAGCUUUUCUUCCUCGUCUCUCUUCUGCAGAAGAACAUGAAAGGAGAAGAUCUGCUUCUUUCUAGCUAGAUUUAGAUAUAUCUGUGUAACUUGAGAUCUGAACCAAAAUGGGGACAGCUACUUGCUUGGAUUUACUGGUUGCCAUAAUUCUUCCUCCUCUUGGUGUCUUCCUCAAGUUUGGCUGCAAGGUGGAGUUUUGGCUCUGCCUUUUGCUGACCAUCCUCGGCUACAUCCCCGGGAUCAUCUAUGCCGUCUAUGCCAUCACCAAAUAAUUCAUUUCUCGACGGUUAAAAGAAGGAAGAAAUAUGUACUAGAUGAAGAUGUUCCCUUUACUGGCGGUAGAAGUGAGGUUUUAACUGAUGUUAAUUGAAGUAGCAGCGGUGGAGAUGGUGGAGCAGAGUGACAUUUGAAAUGUGUUUCUGUACUCUCCUCUUCUUUGCUGUAUGAUGGUGCUGCAAUUGUUCGUUUA